rnacentral:rRNA from 1 species
CUGCUCACUGACAUAAAGUGUUAAAUAGCCGCGGUAUCUUGACCGUGCAAAGGUAGCAUAAUCAUUAGUUUCUUAAUUGGGAACUUGUAUGAAUGGUUGGACAAAGAAAAAUCUGUCUCUUAUAUUAAAAUUGAAUUUAACUUCUAAGUGAAAAGGCUUAGAUUAACCAGAGGGACGAUAAGACCCUAUAAAGCUUUAUAAAUUUAUUAAUUUCGUCUAUUUUUCUUAUAAUGAUGAUAUUGAGAAGAUUUAUUUGGUUGGGGCAACCGAAGUAUAAUUAAAGAUAACUGCUACUAUUUUAUACAAUGAUUUUUGUUUAGAUGAUAAUUGAUCCUUAAAAAGAUUAAAGACCAAGUUACUUUAGGGAUAACAGCGUAAUUUAUCCUGAGAGUUCUUAUCAAAGGAGAAGUUUGCGACCUCGAUGUUGAAUUAAAAUGUCUAUUCAGUGCAGCAGCUGAAAAAGAAGGUCUGUUCGACCUUUAAUUUUUUACAUGAUUUGAGUUCAGACCGGCGUAAGCCAGGUUGGUUUCUAUCUUCUGGAGAUUAGUAAGUCACCUUAGUACGAAAGGACUUGGCGACUAAAAUUUUUUUAAAAUUUUUGAAAU